rnacentral:rRNA from 1 species
UCAGCUUGGAAUGGACGUAAUUUAAGCAAUUCGAUGAGUAACUACUGGAGGGCAAGUCCUGGUGCCAGCAGCCGCGGUAAUUCCAGCUCCAGUGGCGUGAUUUAAAGUUGCUGCGUUUAAAACGCUCGUAGUUGGAUCAUGCGGUGACAGCUUGUAGUCUAUUGCGAACAUUUGGCUGAUUCAGCUGAUGUUGGCAUUAGAUAGCAACGCAAACUGUUACUAUUUAAUCGCAAGUAUGUUGAUUGACCUUUACUGAGUUGAUGAUCAUAUUGUGCGGAGUUGUGCCUUGAAUAAAACAGAGUGCUCAAAGCAGGCGAACGCUUGAAUGUUGUAGCAUGGAACGAACAAACGUGUAUUCGCAUGCAUCGUGCGAGGUGGAUGUGCUUCUGGUGCGUUUGCCUUGUUGAUGUAUGCAUCACCCGCCAAAGUACGAUUGUUGGUUAUCGUAUAAGGUGAUGAUUAAAAGGAGCGGUUGGGGGCAUUGGUAUUUGGACGCGAGAGGUGAAAUUCAAAGACCGUCCAAGGACUAACAAAUGCGAAGGCAUCUGUCCAGACCGUAUCCAUUAAUCAAGAACGAAAGUGGGAGGUUCGAAGACGAUUAGAUACCGUCGUAGUUCCCACCGUAAACUAUGCCGACUAGGGAUCAGCUUGGUGAUAAUGCAAGCAUCAAGUUGGUCUCCAAGGGAAACCAUAAGUUUUUCGGUUACGGGGAGAGUAUGGUCGCAAGUCUGAAAUUUAAAGGAAUUGACGGAAGGGCACCACCAGGGGUGGAACCUGCGGCUUAAUUUGACUCAACACGGGGAAACUUACAUGGUCCAGACAUCGAUAGGAUAAACAGACUGAUA